rnacentral:lncRNA from 1 species
UUGGGAGUGCUAGCUCGCAAAGAUAAUAUCCUUUGGCUGAUCUAAGAGAAACAUGAUGAAGAUGAAGAAUAAAGAGACCCUCUCCUUUUCUUUCUGGAUCCAUGCAUCUGAUCUCUAUAAUAGAGAUCAAGAACCCCUUCUUCUUGUUGUGAUCCAGGUGGUGUGCCCAAGGCCCAGGGGACCAAGGCUAAGGCCAAGG